rnacentral:lncRNA from 1 species
CCUUGGGCCAAGGUCCUUCCCCAUCCUUUUGGGGGCACUUAUUAUUGUCCGCUACUUAGGGCUUUGCACCAGGAGCAGACUCCCAGGCAUGCCUAGCUAGGAGCAGGCUCCCCAGGUUGCACAUGGGAGUGGGGGAGAAGGAGGAGCUGAGCGUUGAACUCGCAAGGAAAUAUGAUCUCCAUCGCAAAGAAGAAAAAAAGGCCAGAGGCAUGUGGGAAGGGAGAGCAUUCCGUUUUCAAAUUUCUCUCCAGGAUCUGUGAAAGUCGGGGAGUGAGCCCAAAGCAGGGGUGCCACUGCAGGUGGAAACGCCGCAUUAGAACACCAGGGAAUCCUGGGGCGACGUCUUGUCUGGUACUCGAAUUGGAUUAAAGUGAGGCCGAGUUGUCCAAGGCCAUCAGCCUCACUCUCUACUCCAGUCAUCCAAGCCCAGGGGCAAGACCUCGUCGGGAUGACCACUGAUGGCCUGGGAUGCAGUGGAUGAUCUUGGCUUCUUCUACGCCCGACAAAGUGGCGAGUAACAAGAUGGCGACCAAGGCAGCCACCGUAAUCAGGGAGGACUGCAGUUGCUGGGUGGGAGCGAUAGGGGAAAGAUAGGAUCCCGCCCAAUGGGUCUGGCUCCAAGACAAGGACAGAAACCCGUCUCCAGAUUUCCUGGCCAGUAUCCCAGCCAUGAAAUUGUUGCAAAGAGAAUGGGAAGGAGCCGCCGCUGAGGACUGUGGUGGGUGAAUUUUCCCUGGAUCAGAACUGCAAGAGCUCCGAGGGAGACAAGGAUGUGGUUGGGGAAGAUACCAACAAUUCUGGCUCUGCAGCCAAUGGGGAAAAAAAUUCCUCCCAAACAUGGUAGACCAACCAGAACCAGACACAGAACGUCCAUCCACGUAGGCAUGGAUACAGCCAAUUGGAGUCCUCCAUGCCAGCUGCUGGGAUCUAGACAUAUGUCAGAGCCCCAAUACAAAAACGCAGAAGAAGAAAUGGGGGGAGUGAAGAAAUACGUACACGUAUGGAUUUUGGUGUAGACAAAAUCCAAUUUAAUGGGAAAAUGAGUGGGAAUAGGAUGAUAGUAGUAUUGGAAAGGGAAUACUCAUAAGCCAAACAAACCUCCCGAUUUCAAGGGAGGGGAAGGGGGAGAAAGAGAAGGGAAAAGGGCUAGAAUCUAAGGGGUAACUUGGGUCCCUGAGACACCUGGGAACGGUGAUUUCUGAAUAUAACGGAACAUUAUGACACCAUAAGAAAUGAAAAAAGGGGUGACUGCAGGAAUCCUGGGAAAUAGGAAUCGAUGAAGAAUGAAGGGAACGCUGGCAAGGAUCAUUUAUAAGGAGGCAACUACACUGGAGAGGAAAUAAUCUUUGAAAGACUGAUCAAAACCAUGACCCAGCACAUCUCCAAAGGACCUGAGGAAGUUGGUUACCUGCCUCAGAGCACGGAGAAGUGAUGGGCACAAAGUGCAGAAAGAGACACAUUUUCUGGCCAGGGUCACUCUGUUGAUUGGUUUCACUUUGCUGCGUUAAUUCUUUAAAGUCCUCCCUGAUGCCAACCGACUUUUCUGUCUCGGUUUUUUCGAGAGGAAACUGGGGGCUCAGAGGUAUUAGUAAAAAUGAUUCCAAAA